GUAGAGAUAUGCUUGACAUCGCAUGUAAUCAUAUGAAGAACUUGAACUUAAACCUUCUUUAAUUGUAAUUCACAUAGAGAUAUAGUGAGUUAGUUAAUUAAGGUGUUUACCACAAUUCUAUCUUAAUUGUUGAUUUGGGUUAAUACGGUAUUAGUACAUCGAGAGGUGGUUAGUACUAUUUAUGUGUUCUUAAUUAAUAAACUGGGAUAGUGAAUUAAACUGGAAUAAGGUAUAAUAAUCAGAGUGAUGCUUAGAGUGAAGUUAUAAGCCUAAUUCUCCAAUAUUUGUUUGAAAAUUCAGUUUUAGGGUUUGUUGGAAUUUAGUUGAUUUGAAAUAUUUUUUUAUUAUUUUUACUAUAAACUGGAAAUUGAUUAGUUUAAUAAAAUUAGGAUUAAUAGAAGAUUGGUAAUUGUGAAGUUAAUUUCUUGCUAAGUCUCUAAGGGAACGAUACUCUACUUACGAUUAUAUUACUUGUUGACCACGUAUACUUGCGUGUUGUGCGUAACUAGAUUUUACCUAACAAGUUUUUGGCGUCGUUACCGGGGACUUUAGUAUAGAUUUAAUUAUUUUGCAAUAUCAGUUUAAUUAGUCCAGUUUUACUUAAACACUUUUUGUUUUUGUUUUGUUCUUCUUAUUUCAGGUUUUUGACAUUGGUUUAUGCAAACACGAUCCAAAAAU
rnacentral:lncRNA from 1 species